rnacentral:rRNA from 1 species
UCAAGCUACAAAGAGCACAAGGGGAAUGCCUUGGCACUGAGAGCCGAUGAAGGACGUGACUAACUGCGAUAAGCUACGGGGAGCUGUAAGUGAGCGUUAUAUCCGUAGAUUUCCGAAUGGAGCAAUCCGAUUAGAGGAAAGUCUAAUCAUCAUAUACUGAAUACAUAGGUAUAUGAGGGGAACCGCCUGAACUGAAACAUCUAAGUAGGGCGAGGAAGAGAAAUCAACUGAGAUUCCGUAAGUAGUGGCGAGCGAACGCGGAAGAGGCCAAACCUAAUGUAGUAAUAUGUUAGGGGUUCGGACAGUAUAAUGAAUUGUCGAGAUUUAGCCGAAUGUCAUGGGAAGGGCAAUCAAAGAAGGUGAAAAUCCUGUAGGCGAAAAGUUAAGACAUCAGACUGUAUCCAGAGUACCGCCGGACACGUGAAACCCGGUGGGAAUACGGGGGGACCAUCCUCCAAGCCUAAAUACUACUCGGUGACCGAUAGAGAAGAAGUACUGUGAAGGAAAGGUGAAAAGCACCCCGGAAGGGGAGUGAAAGAGAACCUGAAACCUUGUGUUUACAAGCACCGAAAGUUCAUCAACGAACGAUCGGGUACCUUUUGUAGAAUGGUCCGGCGAGUGAAUGUAACUGGCAAGGUUAAGCACUUAAGGUGUGAAGCCGUAGCGAGAGCGAGUCUGAAAAGGGCGCAUGAAGUCAGUUGUAUUCGACCCGAAACCGGGUGACCUACCCAUGUCCAGGCUGAAGUGCAGGUAAAACUUCAUGGAGGGCCGAACCGACUCCCGUUGAAAUGGUAGCGGAUGAGGUGUGGGUAGCGGAGAAAUUCCAAUCGAACCCGGAGAUAGCUGGUUCUCUCCGAAAUAGCUUUAGGGCUAGCCUUGGAAUAGAUUACUGGAGGUAAAGCACUGAAUUGGCUAGGGGCCGAGAGGUUACUGAACCUUAUCAAACUAAGAAUGCCAGAUAAUCGUUUUCCAGGAGUCAGACAGUGGGAGAUAAGUUUCAUUGUCAAAAGGGAAACAGCCCAGACCUACAGCUAAGGUCCCAAAGUACAGUUAAGUGGAAAAGGAUGUGGAAUUGCAUAGACAACCAGGAUGUUGGCUUAGAAGCAGCCACUCAUUAAAAGAGUGCGUAAUAGCUCACUGGUCGAGUGAUUCUGCGCCGAAAAUUUAACGGGGCUAAACUAUACACCGAAGCUUAGGAUACCGCAAGGUAUGGUAGGAGAGCGUUCUGUACGGAGUGAAGUCGUAGCGAAAGCGGCGGUGGACUGUACAGAAGUGAGAAUGCCGGAAUAAGUAGCGAGAAUUAAGUGAGAAUCUUAAUGGCCGAAAGUCUAAGGUUUUUGGAGGAAGGUUCGUCCGCUCCAAGUAAGUCGGGAGCUAAGGUCAGGCCGAAAGGCGUAGCCGAUGCACAAACGGUUGACAUUCCGUUACCGUCUACAAUUUAAACAAAGGGACACAUACAAAGCGUUUAACCCGGGCGAUGGUUGACCCGGGCGCAAGGGACUGAAAUAAGAGUAGGGAAGUAAAUGUGGCGUAUGGCGAGAAAAGCUUUGUGAAUAGAAGUAGACGCCCGUACCGCAAACCGACACAGGUGGACAGGAAGAGAAUUCUAAGGCCAGCGGGAGAAGGGUAGUUAAGGAACUCGGCAAAUUGACUCCGUAACUUCGGAAUAAGGAGUGCUCGAAAGAGCCGCAGAGAAUAGGCCCAGGCGACUGUUUAGCAAAAACACAGGUCUCUGCUAAAUCGAAAGAUGAAGUAUAGGGGCUGACACCUGCCCGGUGCCGGAAGGUUAAGAGGAGGAGUGCAAGCUCCGAAUUGAAGCCCCGGUAAACGGCGGCCGUAACUAUAACGGUCCUAAGGUAGCGAAAUUCCUUGUCGGGUAAGUUC